CCCCCCCGCCCCGCGUCCCUCCUUCCGACGGGGCGGCGAGCGCCCGGAGCCCCCACCCCGCUUCAUCCCGAGGACUCCGCGCUUCUUAGGGCCGGGGCCGCCCGGGCCCCCUCUCCUCCCCGCUCCUGUCCCAGCCCGACCCCUCUGCCCGCGCCGCGCCGCGCCACCAGCACCCGGCAUCCGCACCGGAGCCCACGGCCGCGAGAGGCGAUGCCACGCGCUGCGCUGCGCUGCGGGGGGGCCGUCUCUGGACCAAUGUCCAUUGUCUCUUUUUAUUUUCUCUUUUUGAUUUCCACCCCCCCCGCCCCGUUCCGCAGAAUUGUUGGUUUUUUUUUCCGGGAUGCAAAACUCCAAGCGCCCGAACCGGAGCCCGUCACUGAGCAGGUGGAAAGCCGGCAGGUUGCUGAAGACGGAGGGGCCUCGCGCCGCCGCCCGGGAACCACGAGGAAGAGGAAAGAGGCAAAAAACGUCACCUGACGCCAAACACCGAGCCGGCACCGCCCGGCACCGCAAGCCGCGCUGCACGGAGAGCUGGCAGCUCCGGCUGAGCUGGCGGCACACGGGGCGAGGAGAGCAGAGCGCGGCGGGGGAAGAAACGGCGCAGCGGAAAAGAGAGAGAAGGAACGGGACGAGGCGGGGUGACCCGGGAUGGGGGGCGGGGGGGGUUUGGGGGCGGCCUUUGGUGCCGGGGGAGCCGGCUGCGCUCCUGCUCCCCAGCAGCUGCGGGCAGGGCCGGGCUCCGGGCGGCGCGGUUCGGUUCGGUUGUUCCUCCUGUGUCCGUACGUCCACGGCCCGGGCUGCGUGCAUGGACGAGGUGGUUGUUUUGCUUGGUUUUGUUUUUGUUUUUGUUCUUUCAAUGGCUUGGGUUCUGUAGGAAACGGGCAAAAGGGGUUUGAUCCGGAAGGGGAAUGCCAGGUUCGUGGAGCUUCCAGAUUUCUGUCGCCCCAGAAGGGACGGUUUGAGAGCGCGACGACCGGAGCUGCGCAAACGGCAAUGUAAAUCUUGUAUAGCCCCAAAGCUUCGUGUAAAUAGCCGAGACGGCCGGGCCGGCCGCGUGGAUCAGCCCCGAGAAACAAACCCCCGGCUCCGUCAAACUCCAGCCGGCUCCCAUCGGCCCCGCUCCCUCCCGAGAGAAAACGGGAACGCCGCGUGAGCCCGCGUGCUGCCGGGGGAACGGGCGCAGGAGCCGGCUGCAGCGCUGCCCUCAUAUUGAGUGGCCCGGGGAUGGAUGCUCCCCGGCGCGGUGCCGAGCCGCUCCGCUCUGCGCUGAGGGGCGGUUCCUCUCGUCGGCGAAAAACCUCGCCGGCUUUUUCCUCUUUUAAAACAGAAGACGAUGAAAAAAAAAAAGAAGAAGAAUUAAAAAAAAAAAAUGUUAAAAAAGAAAAAAAAAAAAGGAAAAAAAAUAGAAAAAGAACCGUGAAGCGAGUGAUGACGACGACGACGAUGAUGAUGAUGAUGGUACGCGGGGCGACGUGCCGACCAUCUCUCAGCAGAUAUCUGCCACGGGGCCGGGAGGAGAUGGAGAACGUGGAGAAGAUGAUGAUGAUGAUGGAGAUGAUGGAGAAGAUGCUGCUGGGAGCGCAGCUCGGCUCCGUGCCAGGAGAUCUGGGCGCUGUGGGUCCCUCCUCUUCCUCCCUGCAGCGCGUGGGGCGCAGCCCGGCCCCGCUGGGGUAGGUGGGCUCCUGCGGGCGCAGAGCAAGGGAACGGCAGAGCUCGGCGAGGAAAGGGAGCGGAUGGAAGGAGGCGGCGCGGGGCCGAGGAGAUGGGGCAGCACCCGGUUACGCAGAGCGGCGAGAGAACGCCGGGCCUGGCUCCCGCAAUAGCUGCUGAGAGACCAAAACGUCGUUCACUCCCCCCCCCCACACACACCCCCGAGUACCUUGACGAAAGAAGAAAGUUUUAUUCCUCUUAUUUUUUUAAUGAAAGAAAGAAAAAAAAAUAAAGCAAACCAUGCACUUUACGCGGCCCA
rnacentral:lncRNA from 1 species